rnacentral:rRNA from 1 species
AUGGCCGUCACCAAUGACCACCUUAAGACGGCUCUCGUCGGCACGAACCCGUCCGCGCUUCGUGAGACCGUCAUCGAGGUGCCCAAUGUCAGCUGGAACGACGUCGGCGGCCUUGAGGGCGUCAAGAGGGAGCUGCAAGAGACCGUCCAGUACCCGGUCGAGCACCCAGAGAAAUUCAAGAAGUUCGGCAUGUCGCCGUCCAAGGGCGUCCUCUUCUACGGGCCACCAAGGUGCGGUAAGACCUUGUAG